ensembl:snRNA U6 U6 spliceosomal RNA
GUACUCACUUUGGCAGUAUAUAUACUAAAACUUGAACAACACAACGAAGAUUAGCAUGGCCCCUGUGCAAGGAAGACAUGCAAAUUUGUGAAGCUUUUCAUAUUUUU